AUACUUGCCUGGCGGGGGAAUACAAUGAUCAAGAAGGUGGCUUCCCCAGGGUUAGACUGUUCCAUUACACACUUUGGUUGGGUUGACCCAUGUGAUUUCCCCAAAGGUGGGAAACUCAAUAAUUUCUGUGGGUUGGGGUUUAGCAUAAUGGUUAAGGUGUUUACCUCAU